AGCAUCCUGCGCGUCCAGCGCCCAGCGAGUCGCUCCUUGCGAUGUUAUAUGGUGCUCUCGCUGGGCCUCCUCUGUGUAGCCUCUUUUAUGUCCUUUCCUUUCUCCCAACAAGCCGACAACUGCAGCACAAAAUAUACCAGCAAGACUCUGCUUGAUAAAGCACUAAAAAAGGAUCUGGAGAUGGAUGUUACCUUAGCCCCACGUAAGCAUCGGAUGUCGAACACACUCAUUUCCUGAUCACCCAUGUUGACGUGAUUCUGGCUUCUCACUGCCGCUGCUGCUCCUUUGGGAAUGUGUGUGUUACCAUCACCUGCUCCAGUCCCUUUUGUGAAUGAUGAGAGAAAAUAUUAAAUAGAUUUUUUUAGGAA